rnacentral:rRNA from 1 species
UACGGGGGGGGUAAGCGUUGUUCGGAAUUACUGGGCGUAAAGGGCUCGUAGGCGGCCAACUAAGUCAGACGUGAAAUCCCUCAGCUUAACUGGGGAACUGCGUCUGAUACUGGAUGGCUUGGAUCCGGGAGAGGGAUGCGGAAUUCCAGGUGUAGCGGUGAAAUGCGCAGAUAUCAGGAGGAACACCGGUGGCGAAGGCGGAUCUCUGGGCCGAUACUGACGCUGAGGAGCGAAAGCGUGGGGAGCGAACAGG